rnacentral:lncRNA from 10 species
CAGAGUGGACACCGAGGCCGAGGAGACGCCAAGAGCGAUGAAACAAGCUUCUGGUUCAAGAGUUUCUUCAGGUUCCACUACGGGCUGUUCUUCUACAGGUGCGCCGAUGUCCACAGUGCUACCUUCUGAUGAGCUACUGCUUUCAUUCAGUUUCUGCUGACUUAAUAUGUGAGCUGACAGAAUGCAGAGACCACGUUGUAUAUGAAGCAUCCACUUUGCCUUGUACACCAGGGCAUUCAAUAACCACUUAAUAACUACAACCCUGAUGAUGAGGUCUCGCUAUGUUGCCUAGGCUAGUCUUGAACUCCUGGCCUCAAGUGAUCCUUCUGCCUCAGCAUCGGGAGUCACUGGGAUUAAAGGCAUGAGCCACCAUGCUCAGAAUACAAACAAAGACCCAUUUUCUAGAAGAAGUAACAGGGAAGAGAGAGUAAGAAAGAGAUAAUGAUGAACAUUGUCUAAUGUUACAGCAUAAUCUAGUAAGGAACUUGACAUCAUCAGACAGUAAAUCAAGAGGUACUGACAACUGAGACUGAGUGAUGGUCCCUGCCUAGGAUUUGGAAUCUUUGCAUGAAAUAGGGACUCUAGCCACCAGCGACAAAGAAGUCAGGGAGACUGC